rnacentral:rRNA from 1 species
GACGAACGCUGGCGGCGUGCUUAACACAUGCAAGUCGAACGGAAAGGCCCUGCUUUCUUGGUGUGCUCGAGGCGCAAACGUGUGUGUAACACGAGUAUAAUCUCCCUUUCUCUUUGGUAUAACUUCAGAAAACUGUGUCUAAUACCAUAUGAGCGCUCCUCCUGCAUGGUGUUGGUUGGAAAGGUUCUGUGGUUGUGAAUGGACUGCCGGCUUAUCAGCUUGUUGGUGGGGUAGUGGCUCACCAAGGCUUUGACGGGUAGCCGGCCUGAGAGGGUGACCGGCCACACUGGGACUGAGACACGGCCCAGACUCCUACGGGAGGCAGCAGUGGGGAAUAUUGCACAAUGGGCGGAAGCCUGAUGCAGCGACGCCGCGUGCGGGAUGACGGCCUUCGGGUUGUAAACCGCUGUUAGCAGUGAAGAAGAGAGAGUGACGGUACCGGGUAAGGAAGCACCGGCUAACUACGUG